rnacentral:lncRNA from 1 species
AUGCCCCUCCCCCACCCCAAAUUCAGUGCCCCUCCCCCCACUGCCCUUCCCCCACCCCGAAAAUCUGACACAGUGCCCCUCCCCCACCCCAAAAUUGCACACAAUGCCCCUCCCCCACCCCAAAAAUCAGUGCCCCUCCCCCCACUGCCCAUCCCCCACCCCAAAAUCAGACAGUGCCCCUCCCCCACUUCCCCUCCUCCACCCCAAAAUUGGACACAAUGCCCCUCCCCCACCCUGAGAUUAGGAGACCCCUCCCCCACUGCCCCUCCCCCACCCCAAAAUCAGAGCAGACCCCUCCCCCACCCCAAAUUUAGAUAUAAUGCCCACCCCCACCCCAAAAAUCAGUGCCCCUCCCCCACUGCCCAUCCCCCAUGCCACAAUUUCUCGCCCCUCCCCCCCCUCUGCCCCUCCCCCACCUGGGCCACGCCGAAGCCGUGCGGGUGCAGCGCGAACACGGCCGGGGGGGGCGGUGGGGGAGGGGCGGCGGCCGCCGCGGGUGGGGGAGGGGCGGGGGGGGCGGCGGCGGUGGGGGGAGGGGCAGGGGGAGGGGGGGAGGGGGCUGCGGGGGGGGUGGGGGAGGGGCGGCGGUGGGGCCGAAGCCGCUUUGGGGGGAGGGGGCGCCAGAAGGGGGCGGGGGAGGGGCGGAGGGGGGUGGGGGAGGGGCGGAGGAGGGGGGUGGGGGAGGGGCGGCCCCCAAGAACAGCCCCGGGGCGGGUGGGGGAGGGGCGGCGGCGGCUCCUUGGUGCUGGAAUGGAAAGGGGGGGAGGGGUGAGUGAUGGGUGGGGGAGGGGCAGCCCCUCCCCCCGCCCCUCCCCCCACCCAAAUUUGGGGCCUUACCUGCGCAGGUGCGGCGGGGGCGGGGGUGGAGCCCCCCCCGGGGGUGGGGGAGGGGUGCAGCGGCCCCGGGGGGGGGAAGGGCGGGUGCACCGCGGCUGUGGGGGAGGGGCGCGGUCAGACAGAGUGGGGGAGGGGUGGGGGAGGGGGAUUCACUCCCCUCCCCCUCCCCAAAAUGGGGGUGGGUGGGGGAGGGGCGUCUCUCACCGUAGAGCGGCUGCGGGGGCGGGUCCGGCGGGGGAGGGGCGAAGGGGGGAGGGGCGGCCCCGCCCACCAGGGUGGGGGAGGGGUGGAGCCGGGGGCUGCCCGGGAGCAUCGGGGCGAAGACGGGCUGGGGGGAGGGGCGGAGAGGGGGGGAGGGGCGGUCAGAGACCCUCCCCCACCCCGAGGGGUCCUCUGCCCCUCCCCCACCUCGAGGGGUCCUCAGCCCCUCCCCCACCCAUGUUCUAA